rnacentral:rRNA from 1 species
AGUGAACGCUGGCGGCGUGCUUAACACAUGCAAGUCGAACGAGAACGGAUUAUAGCUUGCUAUAAUUGUCAGCUAAGUGGCGCACGGGUGAGUAAUGUAUAGAUAACCUGCCCUCUAGAAAGGAAUAACAGUUGGAAACGACUGCUAAUGCCCUAUAUGCCUUCAAUACAUAAGUAUGCAAGGGAAACGCUUUAGUGCUAGAGGAUGGGUCUGUAUGGUAUCAGUUAGUUGGUGAGGUAAUGGCUCACCAAGACUAUGACGCCUAACUGGUUUGAGAGGAUGAUCAGGCACACUGGAACUGAGACACGGUCCAGACUCCUACGGGAGGCAGCAGUGGGGAAUAUUGCACAAUGGACGAAAGUCUGAUGCAGCAACGCCGCGUGGAGGAUGACACAUUUCGGUGCGUAAACUCCUUUUAUAUAGGAAGAUAAUGACGGUACUAUAUGAAUAAGCACCGGCUAACUCCGUGCCAGCAGCCGCAGUAA